GUGGCAGCAUGAGCAGCACAUAGACUAAAAUUGGAAUGAUACAGGGAAAAUUAGCAUGACCCCUGUGCAAGGAUGACAUGCUAACAAUAACAGAUAAAACAUAAACAU